rnacentral:rRNA from 1 species
AACGAACGCUGGCGGCAUGCCUAACACAUGCAAGUCGAACGAAGUCUUCGGACUUAGUGGCGCACGGGUGCGUAACGCGUGGGAAUCUGCCCUUGGGUGCGGAAUAACUUCUCGAAAGGGAUGCUAAUACCGCAUAAUGUCGUAAGACCAAAGAUUUAUCGCCCAAGGAUGAGCCCGCGUAAGAUUAGCUAGUUGGUGGGGUAAAAGCCUACCAAGGCGACGAUCUUUAGCUGGUCUGAGAGGAUGAUCAGCCACACUGGGACUGAGACACGGCCCAGACUCCUACGGGAGGCAGCAGUGGGGAAUAUUGGACAAUGGGCGAAAGCCUGAUCCAGCAAUGCCGCGUGAGUGAUGAAGGCCCUAGGGUUGUAAAGCUCUUUUACCCGAGAUGAUAAUGACAGUAUCGGGAGAAUAAGCUCCGGCUAACUCCGUGCCAGCAGCC